AGGAGACUCAUGGGUGGGGCGGCACUGUCACUGAACAUAAAAAGAAAACCCGGAGCUAAACCAGUCCUUUCUAUUCUGCGGUGGUUUCACCCCCACUGCAGAAACCAUGGGGACUGUGACCAUUGAUCUUUAAUCGGUUACUUCUGGAGCCCCUACUCCAUGGAGCCCCACCCUUUCUGCUUGCUGUAAUUGGACAUUCAUGGGAAUAACCCAUACCUGUUGAGGAGACGAGAGAAGAGGAGGAAGAGAUGGCGAAGAAAUCCCCGCUGCCAAGGGCAGGGUCACGUCACUCCCUUGGCCGUCCCGUCAUGAAGACACGACGCAUUGGAUGCGGCCUGCAAUAGGCAGUCACCCCUCACAACCUGCCUCAGGGCCAACAUGGGCCACGCCUCACGUGAUAAAAGACAACUGAACAUGGGUGCGCUGUAGUGAGUCACCCCCCCAGGGUGACUCCGCGCAUGCACAUGUGCAGUUGUCUUCUCUCGUGUGCUGACCUGGACCGUGUGUAGCCCUGAUGCAGCCUGUGAGGAGGGCUACCUGCCGUUGGUACAAGUCCAAUGCGUCGUGUUCCCAUACCUGUACGGCAGGGAGCGGCGCGUGCAGAGCCAGUGCUACAAUAACGCACUGACCUCAAACCACGAACCAAAAAACCUAGACUACAGAAGCAACCAAACCAAAGCCAAACAAAUACUUGUUCCAAUUCCCCUUUCCCGGUUGGCUUCUGGUUGUCUGUGUUGCUUGGUUCGGCGGCUCGGGGGGGCCUGCUGAGAAACACAACCCCUUUAUAAAAAAUUAAAGCAGAACGCAUUUUUCUGAAGAAAAAAAAAACAUUUAAAACUGUUCCAAUAAAAACUGUACAAACCUUUGCAACUGAAA